rnacentral:rRNA from 1 species
AGCGAACGCUGGCGGCAGGCUUAACACAUGCAAGUCGAGCGGGUGUAGCAAUACAUCAGCGGCAGACGGGUGAGUAACGCGUGGGAACGUACCUUUUGGUUCGGAACAACACAGGGAAACUUGUGCUAAUACCGGCUAAGCCCUUACGGGGAAAGAUUUAUCGCCGAAAGAACGGACCGCGGCUGAUUAGCUAGUUGGUGAGGUAAUGACUCACCAAGGCGACGAUCAGUAGCUGGUCUGAGAGGAUGAUCAGCCACAUUGGGACUGAGACACGGCCCAAACUCCUACGGGAGGCAGCAGUGGGGAAUAUUGGACAAUGGGGGCAACCCUGAUCCAGCCAUGCGGCGUGAGUGAUGAAGGCCCUAGGGUUGUAAAGCUCUUUUGUGCGGGAAGAUAAUGACGGUACCGCAAGAAUAAGCCCCGGCUAACUUCGUGCCAGCAGCCGCCGCCGUAA